GCUUGUCUCAAAGAUUAAGCCAUGCAUGUCUUAGUGUAAAUAACUCUUAUGAAACUGCGAAUGGCUCAUUAAAUCAGUUAUCAAAUACGUGAUGGUCGCCUACUACAUGGAUAACCGUAGUAAUUCUAGAGCUAAUACAUGCACAAAGGCCCGACUCACGAAGGGCUGUAUUUAUUAGAUUUAAAGCCGACAUCUUUUGGUGAUUCAUAAUAACUGAUCGAAUCUCAAAUUUGAGAUAAAUCAUUCAAGUUUCUGCCCUAUCAGCUUUCGAUGGUAGUGUAUUGGACUACCAUGGCAGUAACGGGUAACGAAGAAUUAGGGUUCGAUUUCGGAGAGGGAGCAUGAGAAACGGCUACCACAUCUAAGGAAGGCAGCAGG
rnacentral:rRNA from 1 species